UACGGGGGGGGGCAAGCGUUGUCCGGAAUCAUUGGGCGUAAAGAGCGUGUAGGCGGCUCGGGUAAGUCCGCUGUGAAAGUCCAGGGCUCAACCCUGGAAUGCCGGUGGAAACUGUCGAGCUAGAGUCCGGAAGAGGCGAGUGGAAUUCCUGGUGUAGCGGUGAAAUGCGCAGAUAUCAGGAGGAACACCAAUGGCGAAGGCAGCU
rnacentral:rRNA from 1 species